rfam:Bacillus pumilus SAFR-032, complete genome.
GAGAAUGCGAUGAUAAGGAAUAGUACUUGCCUAAAUGUUUUCAGAAAGUUGCUGGUUGAUGAGAAGCAAUAACAAAAAGGCAGGGAACUCACCUUAGAGUAGCCUUAGUGAAAUGAAAAGGAUUGAUGUAGUUAAGGUCGGCGCCCCACCGUUAUAUGGGAAGGAUAUAAGAUAUAACAAUCUGUAUCCGAAUAAGGGCAUGAUAAUGUAAAGUUAUCAUGAAACAGGGGUGGUACCGCGUAAGAAGAAGUCUUUCGUCUCCAAG